rnacentral:rRNA from 1 species
CCCUUAGAUGUCCUGGGCUGCACGCGCGCUACACUGAUGCGCUCAACGAGUUUACGAUCUUGCUUGAAAUGGCUGGGUAAUCUUUUUAAAAUGCAUCGUGAUGGGGAUAGAUUAUUGCAAUUAUUAAUCUUCAACGAGGAAUGCCUAGUAGGCGCAAGUCAUCAGCUUGCGUCGAUUACGUCCCUGCCCUUUGUACACACCGCCCGUCGCUCCUACCGAUUGGGUGUGCUGGUGAAAUGUUCGGAUCGGCCGUUUGUCGCGGUUUCCGCGUCAUGUGGCUGAGAAGUUCAUUAAACCCUCCCACCUAGAGGAAGGAGAAGUCGUAACA